GAACUUCGAUGGUUUAGCUGUUAUCGACUAAAUCUUUCGCUUUUUAACAAAAGAUUUUCGUGGAGAGGAACGUUAAGAGUUUCAAAUGAUUUUUUGAUGCCCUGCUUAUGUGGGGCU